rnacentral:rRNA from 1 species
AUUGAACGCUGGCGGCAGGCCUAACACAUGCAAGUCGAGCGAGCGGCGGACGGGUGAGUAUUGCCUAGGAAUCUGCCCGGUCGUGGGGGAUAACGUCCGCAAACGGGCGCUAAUACCGCAUACCAUCAGAUGUGCUCAGCUGGGUUUAGCUUGUUGGGUGGGUAACGGCUCACCAAGGCGACGAUCCCUAGCUGGUCUGAGAGGAUGACCAGCCACACUGGAACUGAGACACGGUCCAGACUCCUACGGGAGGCAGAAGUGGGGAAUAUUGCACAAUGGGCGCAAGCCUGAUGCAGCCAUGCCGCGUGUAUGAAGAAGGCCUUCGGGUUGUAAAGUACUUUCAGCGGGGAGGCGUUACCCGCAGAAGAAGCACCGGCUAACUCCGUGCCAGCAGCCGCGGUAAUUC